rfam:Myotis brandtii contig177200, whole genome shotgun sequence.
GGCAGUUCUCAGGUGACACACCCUGGAAUUGGACUCCCUCCUCUCUGGUUCCUGGUGCGUCACUCGAGAACCACC